rnacentral:rRNA from 1 species
UACGGAGGGUGCAAGCGUUAUCCGGAUUCACUGGGUUUAAAGGGUGCGUAGGCGGGCAGGUAAGUCAGUGGUGAAAUCUUUGGGCUUAACCCGAAAACUGCCAUUGAUACUAUCUGUCUUGAAUAUUGUGGAGGUGAGCGGAAUAUGUCAUGUAGCGGUGAAAUGCUUAGAUAUGACAUAGAACACCCAUUGCGAAGGCAGCUCACUAAGCUUUAACUGACACUGAGGCACGAAAGUGUGUGGAUCAAACAGG